GAUGAAGAACGUAGCGAAAUGCGAUAAGUAAUGUGAAUUGCAGAAUUCAGUGAAUCAUCGAAUCUUUGAACGCACAUUGCGCCCGUUAGCAUUCUAGCGGGCAUGCCUGUCCGAGCGUCAUUUCAACCCUCAGGGUCCCCGUUCCGGCGGGGAACCUGGUGUUGGGGAUCGGCCCGCCCCGUGCGGCGCCGUCCCCCAAAUUCAGUGGCGGUCUCGCUGCGGCCUCCCCUGCGUAGUAGUUACAACCUCGUAUCGGAGCUCAGCGCGGCCACGCCGUAAAACCCCCGACUUUCUGAACGUUGACCUCGGAUCAGGUAGGAAUACCCGCUGAACUUAAGCAUAUCAAUAAGCGGAGGA
rnacentral:misc_RNA from 1 species